GGCUCCCCGAGCGCCGGUGCGCACCGGCGAGGGGCGGGAGCGGCCGAGGGGCCGAGGCGCGCACGUGCCGCUCCAGCACCGGCCAUGUCAGGCCGAGGGACCCCGCGGGCCCGGCCGAGCGGCAGCCCCUGCCCUGGAGGGUGGUCUCCAGGGACCAAGGCGUGGCGGGCGGUGCGGAGAGGCGCGGCACAGAUGGCUACAUCAGAGGAAUUUCUCCACAUAUUCAGAACGUCCUAAAAGCUCCACAAAAUCUUCAUCAUGAGUGAUUACCAGAAGCUGGAAGUUACGCUGCUGUGAGCGACUUUUUAUUAUCCUGCAACAAUAUAUUCAGAACAUAUUAUUAGUAAAGAGCAUAACCCCUUCUUUGAUUUGAAAAGUCACCGCAAACCUUGUCAGACACAUGAACUUGUGCUGUGUGUCAGGGCCCCAGCUACCCUGCAGGAAGUGGAGGGGUGGCCCCAGGCCUUCAGGCCAGCCAGGCAGGAGUCUCUUCUCCUCUCCAGACAGUAGGGACACAUGGCCUGACUCCUCACUUAGGUCUGGCUUAGGGACUCACAGGAAUACAAGAACUAGUUUCUUCCAGAUCAGAAGUUCUCACUAAAGCAGGUAUAAAUAUUUUAUUGAGUUUUCCUUAAUAUCCAAACUGUUCAACUAUAGAAGGCUUACUCCUUCGCCUGGGAUUUUCCUGACCUGUUACUACUUUUCUCUGGAAGAAAAAUUUAAAAGUAAUAAAGACAAACUACAGUUACUUGGGUGAGUUGGCUCCCCAGGCUUUUGAGAUACCUGCCUUUUGUCCAGCACUGCAUCGUCCUCGCAUAUCCAAGGCUGUGUCUCCCUUCAGCAUCACCACUCGGCUUUUAGCAGACUGAAGCCAUGGUUUUUAGUUUUGUCUCUAGUGAUGAGCAGAAAAGAGGGAUGAGGAAGAGGCUUUACUGGUCCAACCAGAAAGAGAAGCUAAGAACCCAUGACUGGAUUCUCUCCCUUGGACACCCCACAGACCAAUAUCUCACCUUCCAGGAGAAGACCCUUCCAGCUCUUGCUUCUUUAAACCUAUUAACUUAGUUUUCUUUAGCUAGACUCCCAAACAUCAGCUUUUACAAUUCAGCCUAUGGUUCAAUCACUAUGGCAAGAUAAACAUUUGUUUAGGUGUGAAACACCACUGGCUAUCUUUGGGUUUUGUAAUCUACCCUCUUGAGGUUGCAGGAGCUACUGUGAAACCUUACUGCAUCCAUGGUCAUGAUAGAGAUGGUGACUCUAAGGUGAGCCCUGAAUAAAGCCCUCAUCUGAAGCUCCCCUCGAAUGCAGGGACCCAGGCUCUGAAGAGCCUCACAGAAAGCUGGCUACCUUGGAUGCAAAACUGUAAAGGUUACGUGUUUACAAUGAGUCUUAAAAGAAGCAUGACCUGGCCAGGUGCGUGGCUCAUGCUUGUAAUCCCAGCACUUUGGGAGGCCAAGGCAGGUGGAUCACAAGGUCAAGAGAUCAAGACCAUCCUGGCCAACAUGGUGAAACCCCGUCUCUACUAAAAAUACAAAAAAUUAGCCGGGUGUGGUGGCAGGCGCCUGUAAUCCCAGCUACUUGGGAGGCCGAGGCAGAAGAAUUGCUUGAACCCGGGAGGUGGAGAUGGCAGUGAGCUGAGAUCGCACCAUUGGAGUCCAGCCUGGGCAAAAAGAGCGAAACUCUGUCUCAAAAAAAAAAAAAAAAGUAUUACCUAAUAUGCAACCUUCCACAUCUGGGGAAAAAUGAGAGUAGAACAUUUUGGGCAUGGGGUAGAACACCAUAUCUUGAGUGAUAUAUUCUAACAUCAUUUAAAUUGGUAUAUUGUAUUAGUAUGGGGUAAUACAUUCCAAAUGAUGGAUAAUUUCCCCCUUUUCAUCUAUGUGUCUCUGACCACUGCCAAUGCUUAUACUUAGUGAUGUUUUUAGAUGAUUACUAAUAACAGAUGGUAAUCAGCUUUUCUUGAAAAUGCACUGCUGACUUCCUGUGUUACCUUAAAUAGACAGCUGAACGCAACAAUUACACUGACUGCAUGCUUUAUUCUAAGACGUGAAAGAAUGAGGGAAAUUUUGUACCUUACUUUCUUCUGGGUGAGAAGGCAAAUUUAGGGCUCACCGUAUAAAUCUUGAGAAGGCCACUGUUUGCGAGCAUAAGCCACAAAGACUCAAUUUUGGGGAAAUUUGUAUCACCUCUUUUCAUUUAGAAGAAUCCAUCUGAGUACCAGGUAAGAGAACUCAGUAAACAGCCUGGCUUUGUUCCUUAACAAGCCUAAAUUGCUAGAAAGCACUCCUGUACCUCUCCACCCCGCCAGGCUCCACCAAGCUCCCUCAUAGGUCCUCAUUCUGCUCAGCAUGCCUCUGUGACUGAGGCACUUUUCUCUGCUGAAAAGCCCUUCCUUCUUAUCCCAGGC
rnacentral:lncRNA from 1 species